CAGAGAGGAACGUCUUCCUUUGCCGUUGGUUCACCCUCCAACGGCCGCCAUGGCUGGCGCACCGUGCUGAUCCGAUGGCAGGAGCCAGGUACUUAUCCUGGUCUCCCAUGGGGUGCAGGGCCCAAGCACUUGGGCCAUCCUCCACUGCACUCCCUGGCCAUAGCAGAGAGCUGGCCUGGAAGAGGGGCAACCGGGACAGAAUCUGGCACCCCGACCAGGACUAGAACCCAGUGUGCCGGCGCCGCAAGGUGGAGGAUUAGCCUAGUGAGCCGCGGCGCCAGCCAGAUUCACUUAUUUUUGUCAAAACUCAACUUCAGGUUUUUCCUUCCUCAUUUUUGCUGAUUUAAUCUUGUUGUUGAUAUGUAAAAACAUUUGCAUGCUCCAGAAUAAGAAAUAUAAGACCCCAAAACUACAAAGCUCUAAAAAGAUACACGUGGAGGAGUCUCAUUCUCAUUCCCAAACCCACACCCUGCAGAUAACCGCUUUGAUCAGAUUCUCCUCUUCCUAGCAUUGUUGCUGUUGGCUUAAAAUAAGGCUGAUCCAGCUGAAGAAGAAAAGGCACAUUUAGCUAAAGAAACUCAGUGAACCUGUCUUAGCGUGCACGUUUAGGAAGACUGGUGCAAAGUGUGUGGAAAUGGGAGGACACGAGAGUUAGAAGCCCAGGGACCAGGGGGUCUCUCAGGCUCUGGUCUCAAACCUUCAGAUGACCUUGAGGACGAUUGCCUGUGAGCUUGCCUGGCAGGAGGAAGGCACUUCCGGGGGAUGGCGUGGGAUGGUCCUCUCCCCAAAAAGAUGGAGCAGGAGAUCGAUUGAGCCCAGGCCUCAGGAGAGGUGUGAGAUGUGGGCCAGGCAUUGCGAUGAAGGACAUCUGGGUCAGGCUUUUAAGAAGGGAGGGGAGAGGGCAGGGAGCAGAGAGUCGCAGAAUCCUACCCUACCUGUCUUGGACCCACCCCUCCUCCUGUUCAUCCACGGGAAGGAGAUAACAAGAUGGAGGGGGAAGAAAUUUCAGAGGUGGAAGAGAAGCAGCGUGCGGGGGCUUCCAGGGGAGGGUGUGUAGGGUGCGGGGGCUUCCAGGGGAGGGCGCAUGGGGUGUGGGGACUUGAGGGGAGGGUGCAUGGGAUGAGGGGGCUUCCAGGGGAGGGUGUGUGGGGUGCGGGGGCUUGAGGGGAGGGUGCGUAGGGUGUGGGGCUUCCAGGGGAGGGUGCGUGGGGUGUGGGAGCUUCCAGGGAGGGGUGCGUGGGGUGCGGGGCUUCCAGGGGAGGAUCCCUGGGGUGCUGGGACUUCCAGGGGAGGGUGUGUAGGGUGUGGGGGCUUCCAGGGAUGGGUGCGUGGGGUGUGGGGGCUUCCAAGGAGGGGUGCGUGGGGGGUGGGGGGGGCUUUCUAAGGGGAGUGGGACGGGACUCCCAUGUGAGGAGGGGUGUAUGGAGGCAAGGGCC
rnacentral:lncRNA from 1 species